AAAUAUCAGGGCGAUGGAGUUCGCCUUAAAGUGCCACGGGGAAUACCCUUGUUGGCUGAUAACUCCUGUCCGUAU
rnacentral:ncRNA from 2 species